rnacentral:lncRNA from 1 species
UUGGUAAGUUCAUAUCCUAUAUAAGCUCCUGUGUAAAGUCACUCACCAGUUUCCACUGAUGCUGUCUCGUCUGCUGCUCUGAUGCCUACACCAUGGUGUCCAGAAUCUUCGCUUUGGUUUUGAACUCUUGGGGUCAGACUCAGAAGGGACCACAGAUGAGAACUGGUGCGGUGAGUCGAGGGAGAAGAGAGGAGGGAGGAGAUAGCACUGUGGAUAGGGUUGGGGGCUCCCAGAGGCCCCCUGCCAGCUCAUCAGCUCUGACUCUUCUAGAUAUUGGACUGUGGUUGUGCCAGUUGACAGUCCAAGGUGGAGACCAGAUCUGCUAUCUCUUGGGCUGUAAUAAGGGGGUCAUCCUGUCCUUGAAUAAGACCCAGCUCUGUGGCCCCAACUGCACUUCUGUCCCUGCUUCCAGCACUGCUGCCUGGAGUCCCUGGGAUCUCAGCACCAGGCAGUAGUGAGGCUCCAUGUCCCAGGAAUGAGACCUGACUACCCAGUAGUGUGCCCAAGUAAGGGCAGCCCAGGCGGUGGACGGAGUUUUGUUAUGUGUAUUCCAUCAAGGUGAGCAAUGCCUGCUGUGUUCCCUAACUUCUUCCUCUUCCUCUUCCUCUUCUUCCUUCUUCCUUCUCCUUCUCCUUCUCCUUCUCCUUCUUCUUCAUCUUUUUCUUUUUGAGAUGGAGUCUCACUCUGUUGCCCAGGUUGGAGUACAGUGACACAAUCUUGGCUCACUGUAAGUUCUGCCUUCCGGGUUCACUCCAUUCUCCUACCUCAGCCUCCCGAGUCCCAGCUACUGGGACUAUAGGCACCUGCCACCAUGCCAAGCUAAUUUUUUGUAUUUUUAGUAGAAACAGGGUUUCCCCCAUGUUAGCCAGGAUGGUCUCGAUCUCCUGACCUCGUGAUCUGCCUGCCUUGGCCUCCCAAAGUGCCGGGAUUACAGGCUUGAGUCACCAUGCCCGGUCCACUAACUUACUUUUGCGCAACCAUCUCUCUCUCUCUCCACUGCCCCACUCUCCUCUCUUCCCCUCCCUGUAUUUUCUCUCCUCUCCUUCCUUCUCUUCCUAUCUCUCUCAAGUUGAAGGAAGAGUAGCUCAGUCAUCUUCCAGAAUUGCUUUUUACCCCCUAGUCACCUGGCCCCAUAGCCCCCGACCACCGCAUGCUCCCUUAACUGUUCCUCCCCUUCCCCUCUACCCUCACCCUUGGCAGCCACUAGUCUGCUUUCUGUCUCUAUGGAUUUACCUAUCUGGGACAUUUCAUAUAAAUGGAAUCAUACCAUAUGUGGCCUUUUGUGUCACUUUCUGUUUUUUUUUUACUUUGCUUAUUGUUUUCAAGGAGUAUUCCCAUUGUAGAAUUUAUUAGUACUUCAUUCCUUUUUAUAACUGAAUAAAUUCAGUUGUAUCCACA